rnacentral:lncRNA from 1 species
UCUUUAUAAAUUACUCAGUUGUGGGUAUGUCUUUAUUAGCAGCGUGAGAAAAGACUAAUGCAUUGCUAUUAUCAAGAGAUUCAUUUUAAGGUUUCAUUGUGGUGUCCAUAAGCAUCUCCAUUAUUAAUUAGGUAUGUAUUUUAAAAACUUGUAAACCAUACGCAGAAACCUAUUACGUUGAAAGCCUAAUUUGGAAAUAAAUUUUCUUUACUUUGGAAGGGGUGCCGUGGUGCCCAAUGAUGAAUUAGGGGCCACCAGGUGUCACUAUGUCGAUGCUAGCCUGAGUUCCACAGGUUGGGAUCUGGGUGAGGGAGGGUCUCAAAUGCUAUAACUGUGGUGGUAAAUAGAGUUUCCACUUACUCACUGGAUAAUCAUGUUUCCAGUAUGAGUUUCUCUUUAGAAUCCUUUAUGGAGCUUGGCAUUAUUCCUUAAAGUUACACCCCCCACCCCCAGCCAGCAUGACAAGCAGAGGUUUAAGGAUGAAUAGUCAGGCCUAAUGGGGAAUUUAUUUUCUCUGCUGGCUCAUGUCACUGCCUCAGCUUGGUUUUAUAUAGUGUUUUGUGAGUCUAAUGUUGCUUAUUUGAAAAAUGAACACAAUAUAGGAUGCUUGAGUGGUUUCAGUCCAAAAGGAAAACUGCGUAUUCGCCAGAAAGAAGGAAAAGGAAAAUACAUAAUAGAAACAUUUACAAAACCUAAUCCGAAAAGAAAGGUUUACAGGGUUUAAAACUAUCUAUGUAUACAUGGGAAUAAAUUUUAUUAAUUUAUGUGUUCUUGGUAGCUCGACAAUCCCAAACAUCAGUGGAAGCCAAUAUUUAAGAAGGUAUAAAAAGCAAAUCAACCUUGGGCAGGCACAGAAACUCUCCAACCUGUUUUGUUUUUGUCAAAGCUCAUUGGACAGCAAAAUCUGAAACCCUUUAGAGGAAUAAGAAAGGCUUUUUAACUAACAUGGGUGUGCUUUAUACUACAAAAGUUAUUAAGUAAAGAUGAGAAUAUUGUAUUUAAUAUAGAAUGUUAUUAUAUCUUGGAAAUGCCCCUUUAAAUACAGGAGAAAAUGAAUGGCAAAAGGUUAUGGAAAAAAAUUAUUCACCCAAGGGACGAGCAACUUUUACAUAGCAAAUGAGGAAUUCUAACUGCAAAAUUGUAUCUUACGUGGAAACCAUUUUCUACCCCUUUGCUCUAUAAACUCUGAAGAUAUGAAUGCUUCCACAAACAGAAUGAAUAAAUCUCCAAUUCUCUAUGGCGACAAAUCCAGAAAACGGCAGGCUUUAUCUUAAAGAAGUUCCACUACUGCACAAAAGCUCUCAUGCACAAAUAAUGGAAUUCUCAAAUUGGGAUAAAUGUGCUUUUAAGAAUUUUUAUUUUGAUCAUUUAUUUCAGGAAACACUUGUGGAUCAUGCAACAUAGCUUUGAAUUACAGAGCAGAUAAGGAAAAUCUAAAAGGAAAAAAAUUAGGGCAGGGCUUUAUUAAUUUUUAAAGUAUGUCUUUGCUAUCCUCUUAUAAAGAGCCAAAUAGGGUAUCAAAAUCUCUGGAGAUCACCAGUAUAAUUUCUUUAUCAUGUUCCAUUUAAAAUUUAAUUAUGCAGUCUACCAUAAGAAGAAUCUGAGAAGUCUAAAUAGGUCACACAGUGAGUAACUUAACAAUAUUCUAAAGUUUUCCUCAUAAAGAUCAUUCCUUUGAUAGUCUGCUACACAUCAGAACACUAUAUUAUAAAACAAGUGUAAUUUAAUUCAGUCACUAUGGAUUCUUAUACGCAUCUAUAAAGAAUUUUGAGAAUUAAUGAACACCACAUUUGCGAUGGAGCUGCCCGUGAUAGGCGGGCAGUAUUUGCAUAUAUACUUCCUUUAAGUGAUUGUUAUUUUCGUGUAUUAUAGCAAGGUCAAGGGACUUUUACAUUUAAUGCUUUGGGUAUUCUCUUUUGAAUCAUCAGCAAUAACUCGUAGCAAGGCAACAAUCUAGGCACUGCAUAAUUAAACUCUGAAUUUGAGGGUUAUAUGCCCGAUGGCUUGAUGCUCUCUCAUCUCCACCUCAAAUUUCAACUAACAUGCAACUUUAAUUUCCUUAUAAUAAGAUAAAGAGCAAACACUGUUUUAAGCACUUUACGGGUAUCAUUUCACUUACUUGUCAGAACAGCUGGCCCUAUUAUUACCCAUUUUACAGAUGAAGAAACUGAGGCAGACAGAGGUGAAGAAACUUGCACAAGGUCAAAGAACAAAGAGUCACAUUAGCAGCUGGAUAUUCAGCUGUGAAGCUCAAGGAAGAAGUCAGGGCUGGAGAUAUAUGAAUGAGAACCAUCUGCAUAAAGAUGAUCUUUAAAAUCAUGGAGCUGGAUGAAAUCUCUCUCCACUCCUCCCCACAGGGGAAUGGAGCAAUGCCCAGGGCGCCCUGGGGCACCUCAACCUGCAGAGGCCAGUCAAGCUGGCAAGGAGUAACAGAAGACUGAUGAAGAAUGGCCAGCAAGAGAGGAGGGAAACCUGGAGGGCUUGAUGUCUCUACAAUGAAGAGAGCACUUCAUGGAGGAGGAAGUUGUCCCUAGGUUGAAUGCAGCUGAGGGACUAAUUAAGAUCACAGCUAAAUGGCCACUGGAUUUACCCAGAUGGAGAAGAAGAAGAAAAGCACCUACCUGGCAUGGAUGCCAUUCUUUAAGUACUUACAAUCCAUUCUCCCCUUACCCCGACUCCUACCUUUCUCCUUGCUGACAGAACAGGCCUCCCAUUACAAAGGCUGAGAAUACCAGAAACCCAAUGUCCCCUCCCUAAGGGAUCAGGCAUGGAAAAGGGAUUCCUCCCCUAAAAAACAGUCCCAUGGAAGAAGAUGGACAUGGUCCCCACGUGACGGCUGGAGUUGCUGUGAGCAUGAGGUGCGCCUUAUCAACAUGAUGAAGAUGGCAGACGGUGUACCAGGGUGCUGGCUGUAGUCCGUUUUGUGCUGUUAUAACAGAAUCACACAGACUGAGUAAUUGACAAAGAACAGAGAUUCAUUUCUCAGAGUUCUGGAGGCUGGGAAUUUCAAGCUCAAAACACCAACAUCCGUGUGAGCCUUCUUACGGUGUCCUCACAUGGCAGACAGCAGAAGAGCAAGAGAAGACAAACAUUGGGUCCUCACAUGGCAGAAGAGCGAGAAAAGGAGUGAAUCUGCCCCCACAAGCCCUUUUUACGGUGGCAUUGAUCCGCUCAUGACAUCAGAGCCCUCAUGACCUCACCACCUCCCAUUCAUUCUCACCUCCCCAGAGUCACAUUGAGGAGUAGGUUUCCAGCACAUGAAUUGUGGGGGACACAUUCAGACCAUAGAGGCUCUGAAUUCACCCUGGGCCUUCUCUGACCUCUUGAACCAUAACUACAAACUCAACCUGCAUUUUUAGCCUGCUGUAACUACCGAGGCUUUUCAAUGGAUUCAACCUGAGAAAAAUAAUAAAGAAGGACAUUGUAAGGGAAAGGUUUGUGCAGGAAAGAACUCAGUCACAGGCUAUGAGUGGUAGAUGCAUUAGAAAAGGUGAGGAGGUAGGGGCUGGGGCAGGGAGGAAGAGAGAACACACCUCACCAUCUGCAGCUGUGAUCGCAGAGUCUGGGUGCUGUAUGAUGGUUGGGCGCUGGGAGUAGAAAGUUGGGUUGUGAAAGGUAUGGAAACCAGUCACUUAGGCCAGAGGGUUUGUUUCAUAUUUUGAGUCAAGCAGUGAAUCUGAAAGAAGACGGUUUGGAGGGUGGCAAGGUCUGGGGACUCUGUGGGCUAUCCCCUGGCCUGUACUUACCCACUCUGACCCACUCGCUCCAGUCCUGCUCAGAAGGUUGGUUCGGGAUGAUGUCCUUACUGCCUCUGAUCAGAACUAGCCCAUCUCGCUGCUGAAAUCCCUUGGGUUUUGUGUUUGCUUCAGUGUUUCCCUAGUUCUCUUAUGGGUUAAACACUUUCCCAUAGCACUGGGAUGAUCGGUACCUUCUUCAUGCCACUGAACCACUUCAGAGAAGAGAUGGUGUCCGUCUGUUUUCUCCCACAACCAAGGUACAGCACGCACUAAGUGUAUGCCAAGCUGACAACCAUGCUUGGCAUAUACUUAGUGCAUGCUGUACCCUGGUUGAAUUAACGAUAGAGGAUGAACUGUGUCAAUACUGAAUAGCACCAGGCAUGGGCCCCAGGAGAGCUGGGGGAGCUGCUGCUUCCUAGGGAUUAUAAAGAAGACAGGAAGUGUCCAUCCAUCGGCUCUAGAUGACUCAGUAAGAGGUUGGCCUGGAAGUACCAGCAUAUUUAUCUCUUAAUUUUCGAAAGUCUUUCAGAAAAUGGCAUUGCGUACUGAGGACAGUGAGAAAUAGGAGGUUAUGUUUCCUAUCAAAGCCCUCCAUGUAGAAAGGUGAGCUCUCAGAGAUGAUCUGAAUUAUCUUUGCUUCCACCGUUUCUGCCUAUUGCUACCUGAUCUGUCACAUCCAUGACUGAGAAAUAUUGUCAGCUGGAGAGGCUGAAGAAAUCUGAAAAAAGGCUGAAAGCUGGAACAACUGAUGGAAUUCUACGAGACUGUACAAACAAACAAACACUAGCAAAAGAAAUAAGCUGGACACAAGGGGAGGAUUCAUCAUCAAAUCAUUACAUGAUUUCAUGUUAAUGUGGGGAAGGGAAAUAUUUGUCAAUGGCUAUGUCUCAAACUGCCCCUGGAGAAGUCGAAAGAAUACCUGAAGCUACAUUAGAAGUACGAUUGAGAAAUCACUGAUAUAUUACUUCUCACUCCUUUAUCGCCAGGCAGUACAGUGAUUGCAAAUUGCAGUUAGAAUGGGAAUGUCGGCAUGUUGUUUAUUUUCAACAUGAUUCGACAUGAGAAUAACAAAAAUUCCUGAAGAAAAAUAAGUAGGCUUAUUACCGAAAUACCACCCACCAAACCUAAGAAGAGAGCAGCCUCUCCCUUGAGUAAUAAACCAGCUACAAAAGAUCAUUCCUGGGGAAUAUACGCGUUGCUGCUUGGUAUUCAAAAUACAGCGCUACUUAAUAGAAUUCCGGGUGCCGACGGUGAUUUCUCAGACAUCUGAAUCAUUUUCAUCUGUGUGAUUACAGCACGGAGUGGGUAUCUUCUGACAACAUAGAGGUGGUCUGCUUCUUAGCUGCUCUACAAAAGUUUGGAAGUCAUUCCUCGUUCCAUUAUUUCAGGAUUGACUUCCUCAGCCCAAACGUGGGUAGACACACAACAAUCUCUCUGCCCACACAUGAUGGGAUGCUCAGGUCUUCAGGGUGGACUUUUUCCAGAGUGAAAGCACAAAGACAAACAAUUUUAGCGGGGAGACACAAACCAGAACACUCGGACAGUUUUAACCCUGAAAACUGGCACAUGAUGGAAAUGUUUCUUUGGGACGUUAUCCAAAGAAUGAAGACCUACAGUAAUUUAAAUAUUUGGAUCACAGUAAACAGUUUUUUUUUGGCAAUAUUAAUCUUGAUCCUAUAAGCAAAGAUUUUCUUUACAUAAAAAAAGCAACCAAAUGUGCUUAUCUCCGGUAACAGAUGGCAACAAUUUGUACUUUCCCCUGUUCUCCAGUGCUGUUCAUGACAACAUUGGGCUCACUCUGCUUCUCCUGUUCUUGAGAUUCUCUUGAUUUCUACUUCCAACAGUUUCUAGGCAAUAUCCUAGGACAUAUGAAUACAUUCACGCAUGAUUAUCGAGUACCUUCAAAAACUAAGGCACGAGCCAGGCGCGGGGGCUCACGCCUGUAAUCCCAUCCACGCUUAGGUAGAAUGUCUAAGACUCCCUGAGGCCCCAGUCCCACACACUGCUCUGAAUCCACACACCCCUUUCCUGCGUCCAUCCUUGUUCAAAUAGAAGCCUGGGCUCUCCUCUCAAGCUGAUCCCAUCUGUGCCCUGGAUCCCGUGCCCUCUUGCCUUCUCAGGGACUCCGUCCUCUUCCCCUCUCUCCUGAUGUCUUCUGCACAUUUAGAUGAGUAAAUUUCUCCUCUCUUUUGGAAACAUCUGACAUGGCCAGGCACGGUGGCUCACACCUGUAAUCCCAGCACCUUGGGAGGCCGAGACAGGUGGAUCACCUGA